AAUGAAUCUCAACAAUCUUAUCAUUAUCCCUAACCCAAUAGAUGUAAUCAAUUCCAAUGAAUCUUCCAGUCCAUUUUCUUCAUAAACACCUAAAAUCCUCUCAUCAUCUUAUAAUGUAUCUAACUUGCAUAAUUGUCUUUCAAUUUCAUAUAAUCUUUUUCUUUCUUUUCUUUUAAAAUCAUCAACUUUCUUAUACAUAAUAUUUCCAUUCUCCAAUAUA
rnacentral:lncRNA from 1 species